CUUCAUUAGUUUCUCAUUUAUCACAGAGGCUUCAGCUCCCACAUCCCGCUGCUGGUGUUGCCCCAUUCCCAGCAGCACAGACACAGCCAGGAAGGCGUCAGAAGCUUUUAUUGAGGGAGCAGAAGUGGCAGUUCAGAUGGCAGAGUGUCUUGGGGGAGAAAGGAGAAGAGAGGCAUCUCUCAGCAAUGGAGCCAGCAUCCCUGCAGCCUCACAACCAGCCCAGAACCCACAAUCUAGUUUUCAAGUGGGCCUGGAUUCUUUCCUGAAGAAACAGAAAUGAUUUGGGAGGUUUCAUCUGGAUAGUUGAGAGGUGCUUGGAAGUGGGUGUUUUUCCACCCGAAACCCAAGAUGACUGUGGUUCUAAUCACUUUGUGACAUCAGGACCACCAAGGAGAUGAAACCUCAUUAAUGGA